UCCAGAAGAUCUACUUAAAGGGGAAACCGAAGAAAGUUUGGGCAAAGUGCAGAAAACUUUUAAUAUUUUCAAUUAUUUCAAGCAGACCUUUGAAGAAAGAAGAGAAAAUCUCAGCACUUACUUUCAGCCAGGCCUAGAGACAAAGGAGUGGGAUUUUCCUUCUAUAAUGGUUUUUGCACAAUUUGAUACUUUUCUGGAGAGGCUCCAUGUGGUAGAUGGCCUUCAGCUAACUUGUAUGUGUGUUUUCGUGUUGCAGACCAAGAGCAGAGGUGUCAGAAAUGCCUGCAAAAUUUUUAGCAGGUGCCAUUAGAAUGACAUCUACAAUGAACAGUGCUGACUCAAUAUUUGGAAGUCGGGGAACAGUAUAAAUGCUCUCACCAUUUCAGUCAUUUCCACCAGUGUCUUUUGGCUUCCCGCAAUUUCUGGGGCUCACGUUUUCCUGCUGUUGAUUCUUUCUGGACUGGAACGUCAUCUAUCAACCUCAGAGAGAUGGACAUGCUCCCGUCACAGCCAUGGUCACAGCCCUAUCGUUUUCAACCUCAUGUAGUUCAUUAUCAUCACUACACAACAUUCCCACGUCCUCCCCUGUCUGUUGGAGUCCCCAUAUCAAUUUUGGAUGUGGCAUUCCUCCUGAGCAAAAACCCUGACCAGAGGUAUGGAGGGUUCUCAGCCCCUAGCUUUCCUCGUCAUUUUUCUGAAAUUCAUUUGCCAGCGCUAAUGCAACCAAACAUUUCUUUACAAUCCCGGUACAAGCUCACAUCUCCUCUGGUGACAGGCCCUGUGCUGCAUGCAGGAUGAGCUGGCCCCUUCAUUGAAUGGGAACAUGAUCAUCACAGGAAUGGAACAAAAUGGCACUCGAAUUGCACAAAAUGUAUUCACAGCAAAUGAUUGUAUGGGUCAGACAAACGAGCAGACUGGAUCCAUGAUUGCUCAUCACCUCUGACACUCAUACCUACACCUGCCUGCUCAAAGCUUCAUUUAGGUUUCCCUCCAAUUCUCUUAGAUAUGGAGCUUUUUUCUUCCUUUCUUUCAAGGCAACCUGAAGGCGCUUUGUCCAAAAUUCAAGGGAUUCCAAAUUCACUGCUCAUUCUUUGGUGCAUCUCUGAAUAUCCCUGAGGUCUGCAAGAUUUAUGAUGCUUCCACUUUCCUGAGAAGCUGUCAUUCUCUGUGUACUUAUGCCUUGUCUCAUUUUACUCCUCAUUCAUCUGUCAUUUCACUCUUCUGCACAAAAUGUAUUGUUCACCUUUCUGAAGCUGCUCAACAUGGAAAGGCUUCCCUGCACUCCU